rnacentral:rRNA from 1 species
AACGUAGGACGCAAGCGUUAUCCGGAGUUACUGGGCGUAAAGGGCAGGCAGGCGGGUCGAUAAGUCGGAUGUGAAAUCCCCAGGCUUAACCUGGGAACUGCAUCCGAUACUGGAUGGCUUGAAUCCGGGAGAGGGAUGCAGAAUUCCAGGUGUAGCGGUGAAAUGCGUAGAGAUCAGCAGGAAUACCCGUGGCGAAGGCGGCCCCCUGGGCCGAACCUGACGCUGAGGCGCGAAGGCUAGGGGAGCGAACGGG